CACGUAGGCACCAAGCGUUAUCCGGAUUUAUUGGGCGUAAAGAGCUCGUAGGCGGUUCGGCAAGUCGAAUGUGAAAUCUCCACGCUCAACGUGGAGGGGUCAUUCGAUACUGCCGUGACUUGAGUACGGUAGGGGAGUGUGGAAUUCCCGGUGUAGCGGUGAAGUGCGCAGAGAUCGGGAGGAACACCCGUAGCGAAGGCGGCACUCUGGGCCGAUACUGACGCUGAGGAGCGAAAGCGUGGGGAGCGAACAGG
rnacentral:rRNA from 1 species